CAGGACAGAGAGGGGCAGACGGGGCAGGUGCAAAAGGCCCCAAGUCUGAAUGUCUUCUAGAGGUACCUGUGGCUCCCACUACCCAUAGUUUCUACUUAAAAGUUCAUGGCUCUUUCUCUGUAAAUCGGAAGGUGAGCAGUCCCCCAUCCCUGGCUGAACUCAGCUCCAUAUUACAAGAAGAAUAUCGUCGGCAGGUUUCAACCAUGCAAGUGAGGUACAAAGCUCCAGGGAGCACUGAUUUAAUCACCAUUAACAGUGAUGAGGAACUAAGGAAUUUAUGGCAAGAGGUACAAGGGACCUAUCUGACCCUUUGGUGCCAGGGUGAAGAAGAACCUGUGGAUCGACCUGUACUUUACCGCAUGGUGGGAAAACACCCUUAUACCUCUGAGGCACCAGAAGACUUGAACUUCAAGGAUGGUGAUGUCCUGGAGAUUCUGUCUGAAGUGAACGGGGAAUGGCUGGAAGGCCAAUGCAACGGAAUUACGGGCAUCUUCCCAAAACGCUUUGCGGAGCUGGAAUGCCCUGCAUCCACCCGACUCUAGAGGAAGGGAGGAAGCCUUCUUUGCCAGGAUGAAGCCUCAGUUUCCCUGCUGUUGGGACACAGCACUGGGGCAUGGAUGUUCUGCAUCGUUGCUGCAUGGAUAGUGCAUUUAAUUAUUUGCAAGCACAUACUCACACCUGUUCACACACACCUCCAGUGCUCUUGAGCGUAUAAAAGAAAAUCGUGUUAUUGUCUUUGCCCCCAGAGAAAAUUGCUGUCAGUCUCCAUAACAUUCCAAAGAGGAAUUUCUGGUCAGAAUAGAAACCACCAAAGCCCAUAAUUCCCAUGCUGUGGUUGUGCUCAAUCCUAGUUUGCUUAAGUGUGACCUCAGUUCGUACAAAACAUUGAGUGAGACCCACCUGAGCAAAGUCACCUCUAGGGCAGCUUAUUAGCCUGUGGUGUGAAUGUAACUGCUAGGUCUUUCACUGACCUGGGUCCAGAAGGUUGUGUGAACUGAGCCUCUGCAUUCAUGGAAUUGUCUCAGAAGGCCCACUAAUUCCACCACCACCCCAGAUUCCUUACAUAAAUAAGAAUACUAGCAAUAUCUAGAAAGCUUUGGUGUGGGAUUUGAGGCAUGCCAAACCCAGGAUCUUUCUAACAGUCUUAUCAAAAUAAAUAAUCCCCAGUUUUGAAGGUUGGCAAUGGAGGCAAAGGUAGAAUUCAAACCAGAAACAUCCUGGUCCAUGCUGUAGGAUACAGCAGAGGGACCUCACAUUCCUUUCUAGAUGUGUUUUCUGAAAAUUAAUCCUUUUCCUUUGGCACGUGGAUGUUGUCAUCACUACUCCGAUGUUCCCUUAUUACACAGUAUUCUAAGAACCGUUUUCUCCUUGUUGAGCUCUGUGUGCCUUUUCC